rnacentral:rRNA from 1 species
GUGGAGCAUGUGGCUUAAUUUGACUCACGCGGGGAAUCUUACUAGGUCCGGACCGAGUCUAUGAACGUCGUACCGUUGGGUGCUACGUGAUUACUGGAUGAGUGGUGCAUGGCCGUUCUUAGUUCGUGGUGUUAAUUGUCUACUUAAUUGUCAUUAGUUUAAUACCUCACGGUAUCDAAGUAUGAACGAACGAGAUCGADACCCGUCGAUACGGGGAUCGCGUAACACUCAACGGUACGAUCGAAAGACUCGGCAAUAACAGGUCUGUGAUGCCCUCAGAUGUUCUAGGCUGCACACGUGCUACAUUGUGAGUUGUAGUAUAUUGUGUAUGCGUAGAUAUGUCUAAGAUCCCCCGCAUCGAGUCUCAAUUACUCACGUGGUGGACUCACCGAUUGUUGUACUUUUUCGGUAUACUAA